rnacentral:misc_RNA from 1 species
UACGAAGGGUGCAAGCGUUACUCGGAAUUACUGGGCGUAACGCGUGCGUAGGUGGUCUGUCAAGUCCGAUGUGAAAGCCCUGGGCUCAACCUGGGAACUGCAUUGGAAACUGGCAGUCUGGAGUGCGGUAGAGGGUAGCAGAAUUCCCGGUGUAGCAGUGAAAUGCGUAGAUAUCGGGAGGAACAUCCGUGGCGAAGGCGGCUACCUGGACCAGCACUGACACUGAGGCACGAAAGCGUGGGGAGCAAACAGG